rnacentral:rRNA from 1 species
UACGUAGGGUGCAAGCGUUGUCCGGAAUUAUUGGGCGUAAAGAGCUCGUAGGCGGUCUGUCACGUCGGCUGUGAAAACCCGGGGCUCAACCUCGGGCCUGCAGUCGAUACGGGCAGACUAGAGUGCGGUAGGGGAGACUGGAAUUCCUGGUGUAGCGGUGAAAUGCGCAGAUAUCAGGAGGAACACCGGUGGCGAAGGCGGGUCUCUGGGCCGUAACUGACGCUGAGGAGCGAAAGCGUGGGGAGCGAACAGG